GACGAACGCUGGCGGCGUGCUUAACACAUGCAAGUCGAACGGAAAGGCCCUGCUUGCAGGGUAUUCGAGUGGCGAACGGGUGGGUAACACAUGGGUGAUUUGCCCUGCACUUCGGGGUAAGCCUGGGCAAAUGGGUCUAUAACCGGAUAGCAGCCACUUUUAGCGUGAUGGUUGGAAAGAUUUUUCGGUGUUGGGUGAGCUGGCGGGCUAUUAGCUUGUUGGUGGGGUAAUGGGGUACCAAGGCGGCGACGGGUAGCGGGCCUGUGAGGGUGGAAGGCGGUACAGGGACCUACGGAAGGCCCAAGUGCCUACGAGAGGAAGCAGGGCGGAAGAUUGCACAAGGGGCGCAAGGCGGGUGCAGCGGCGCCGCGGGGGGGAUAACGGCCUUCGGGUUGAAGACUCCUUUCGCGAGAAACGAAGCUUUUUGUGACGGUACCUAGAGAAGAAGCACCGGCUAACUACGUG
rnacentral:rRNA from 1 species